CAAUCUUAACGAUGGAUGUCUUGGUUCCUACAGCGAUGAAGGCCGCAGCAAAACGCGAUAUGCAAUGAAAAUUGCAAUGACUGUGAAUCAUCUGAACGCUGAAUGUAAAUUACUCCAAAAUUCCCUCUUCUGGGUUU
rnacentral:rRNA from 1 species